rnacentral:rRNA from 1 species
UAGGGAAUCUUCCACAAUGGACGCAAGUCUGAUGGAGCAACGCCGCGUGAGUGAAGAAGGUUUUCGGAUCGUAAAGCUCUGUUGUUGGUGAAGAAGGAUAGAGGUAGUAACUGGCCUUUAUUUGACGGUAAUCAACCAGAAAGUCACGGCUAACUACGUGCCAGCAGCCGCGGUAAUACGUAGGUGGCAAGCGUUGUCCGGAUUUAUUGGGCGUAAAGCGAGCGCAGGCGGAAGAAUAAGUCUGAUAUGAAAGCCCUCGGCUUAACCGAGGAACUGCAUCGGAAACUGUUUUUCUUGAGUGCAGAAGAGGAGAGUGGAAUUCCAUGUGUAGCGGUGGAAUGCGUAGAUAUAUGGAAGAACACCAGUGGCGAAGGCGACUCUCUGGUCUGCAACUGACGCUGAGGCUCGAAAGCAUGGGUAGCGAACAGG